GUUAGUUUUGUGACAAGCAAGAGAAAAUACCACAGUGGGAAGGACACUUCUGUUCUAAGCGUUGUUGAAGAAAAACAAGAGCACACCAAAAACUCCUCUGAAGAAUGUAAAGCCUCAUUGAACAGCUUACAGAUGAAAUUCUUUACUCAACAAAUAGGUGUCAUUAUAAGGACUCCUACAUUUCAUAUUCUUGGCUAGCUUGUUAUGAUAGUGUUGUGUCUGUUUGAUUUAUGACAGAUUAUUUCUUCCUGUAAUGUCUAGCAAUCACUGGCACAUUUCUUCUCCAGGUAUCCACCCGAUUUAGCACAUUUAUAAAGCUUAGAAGAACAACCACAGCUCUCAAAUUGCCUGUUGAGAUGCGGCAUGAUGAAAACAAGGCAUGACACAGUGAUAUGUGAGGGACAAUAGGGGAGAUGGCUUCACUGAUCUCUUAGCUCUUAUUUCCUACAGCCCUAAAUCACAUAUGACGUGAAAGAAAUGCUUUGUGCACCAUAUGGUGACCUGAGGAUUGGAAUACCAUCUUCCUCCAAGAGCAGCAGCUGUCAACUUGUCACUUGUUGAAGAAAACCAAGACAAGCAAUUUUAGCCAGCUUAAAUUCACUGUGCAGGAGCUGCAUCAGUGCUGAGUCCACAAAUGGAAAAAGAAAAACCAGUCAGAACUCACUGUCCUAGGGACAUCUUCAAGUUAGAAGUCUUUGGUUUCUAUGUCUAGUAUUAUACUAGACAUAGAAUACCCCACUGAAAACCAGUUGCUUCAUGAUCUCAGCGUGUCUCCUAAUAAAAGAAUGGGAGCUGAGAAUUGAGCCUUCUUAAGUCCAUAGAUGCUGGAACUCAGUACAUUCAUUGCUAGAGGUCAUUUUGCUGAAGAGUUUCCCUCUUGUUCAUCCUUACCAGCAAGCUCUUAGCAGACCCCCUCACACCCAGCCUUCCCCAUGGCCUCCCAGGAAUAACCCUGUGUCACUUGGAAUCUACUCAGCCUUUUCUGAUUUCUGUACUAAUCAGAGACAGAGACUGACCUCCCUGUACAGAGGGACUGACAUAGGUACCUCUCAUCAGGGUAUGACCGUGCUGUAUCCAGCUGCUGAACAGAUGGGUCUGAAACAAUAUCCCUGGGCAUGGGAUUCAGGCUGCUCAGCCAAAGCUCCCUGCAUUUACCUAAUUGCCAUCAAGGUUUAGCACUGGUACAUUUCCAAGUGUGGUCGCUUGUCCCCUGACAACUGGACUGAGACCACUGGAGUUGUCAGCUAAAUUACCUUGAAGUGAUUUAAAACACUACAACCCAGACCCCAUGAUGCACACAGCUCCCAUUUCCUUUUGUAUUUCUUUAAUAGAAAAGUAACAGGAAAAGCAAUUACUGGCCAUAUGAAAUGUCAGUUCAUACAGUAUUUCCUACAAGACUUCAAGCAACUCCUUGUUAAAGCAGAUAAGUUAAUCUGUCUUUUGGUUCAGGUCACAGUAGGUUUUCAGCUUUAAAUCACUGUGGCUCAGUAACUAAUGGCAUUUGCCAUACAAAUGAUGCUGAAAAAACAAGGAAUCUGGGUAAUUAUUAGGUGUAUAUUUCCGGUGAAAACAAUCCACGUGAAGACAGUGUCAGAGAAAAGGGUGAUUGAUCAUCUGGAUUCUGCUCCCUUGUGUUUUCCUGUGCACUUUCUCUGCACUGUAGUCUUAACUGUCAGGCAGUUACUGUAAUGAAGUCUGGUAGUGGGCUUUUCAGCCUGAGGAGCUGUGUUACUCUCAGGAGGGGCUCAACAGGGCAUUGUACCCGUGGAGGCUGAAGCUGCACAGCAAGAGGAGCACAGCCCCUUCGGGCAUUCAGCUUUCAGAAAGAGCAGGGUGUGGUAUUUAGAAAGGCUCCAAAAUUGGCAGAAAGAGAAAGGCAAAUACUCUUCUGAACUGGAGACCGCCCUAACACAGGCAUCUGCAGCCCAGCCUCAACUCGUGCUCCUGCCAGUUCUCUCAAGCAUGACCUGGUUUGAGGACCACCUUCAAUGAGAUCAAAAGGGCAUAAUGCUGCUAUCAUGUCUCACAGACCUUAAGUCCACUAUGCAUCAUGGCAGAUGUCAACCUCCAGGAAACAGCCUGCAGGAAAGGGGAGCCAUCUAAACCACAACCCCAGUGAGGCAGUGUCCUU